GACGAACGCUGGCGGCGUGCUUAACACAUGCAAGUCGAACGGAAAGGCCCUGCUUUUGUGGGGUGCUCGAGUGGCGAACGGGUGAGUAACACGUGAGUAACCUGCCCUUGACUUUGGGAUAACUUCAGGAAACUGGGGCUAAUACCGGAUAGGAGCUCCUGCUGCAUGGUGGGGGUUGGAAAGUUUCGGCGGUUGGGGAUGGACUCGCGGCUUAUCAGCUUGUUGGUGGGGUAGUGGCUUACCAAGGCCUUGACGGGUAGCCGGCCUGAGAGGGUAACCGGCCACACUGGGACUGAGAUACGGCACAGACUCCUACGGGAGGCAGCAGUGGGGAAUAUUGCACAAUGGGAGGAAGCCUGAUGCAGCAACGCCGCGUGCGGGAUGACGGCCUUCGGGUAGUAAACCGAUUUCGCCUGUGACGAAGAGUGAGUGACGGUAAUGGGUAAAGAAGCACCGGCUAACUACGUG
rnacentral:rRNA from 1 species